rnacentral:rRNA from 1 species
GCGGGCCGUGAGAGCGGGAGCCCGGAGAUGGGCACUGAGACAAGGGCCCAGGCCCUACGGGGCGCAGCAGUCGCGAAAACUUUGCAAUAAGCGAAAGCUUGACAGGGCUAUCCCGAGUGCCAUCCGCUGAGGAAGGCUUUUACCCAGUCUAGAACGCUGGGGGAAUAAGGAGAGGGCAAGUCUGGUGUCAGCCGCCGUGGUAAUACCAGCUCUCCGAGUGGUGUGGAUGUUUAUUGGGCCUAAAGCAUCCGUAGCUGGCUAGGUCAGUCCCUUGUUAAAUCCACCGAAUUAAUCGUUGGAUUGCGGGGGAUACUGCUUGGCUAGGGGACGAGAGAGGCAGACGGUAUUUUCGGGGUAGGGGUGAAAUCCUAUAAUCCCGGGAAGACCACCAGU